rnacentral:rRNA from 1 species
UCGGUGACAGGUGGUGCAUGGUUGUCGUCAGCUCGUGUCGUGAGAUGUUGGGUUAAGUCCCGCAACGAGCGCAACCCCUAUUGUUAGUUGCCAUCAUUCAGUUGGGCACUCUAGCGAGACUGCCGGUAAUAAACCGGAGGAAGGUGGGGAUGACGUCAAAUCAUCAUGCCCCUUAUGGCCUGGGCUACACACGUGCUACAAUGGUUGGUACAACGAGUUGCGAGUCGGUGACGGCGAGCUAAUCUCUUAAAGCCAAUCUCAGUUCGGAUUGUAGGCUGCAACUCGCCUACAUGAAGUCGGAAUCGCUAGUAAUCGCGGAUCAGCACGCCGCGGUGAAUACGUUCCCGGGCCUU